CUNGUGGCUGAUCGGCUCUCAGACCAGCUACCCGUCUUAGCCUUGGUGAGCCGUUACCUCGCCAACUAGCUGAUAGGCCGCGAACUCCUCUUCAAGCGUCAGGCCUUGCGGUCCCCGACUUUAGUAAGUCUCUCAUGCGAGAGGCCACCACAUGCGGCAUUAAUUCGGCUUUCGUCGAGCUAUUCCCCAUUUGAAGGUACAAUGUUCACGUGUUACGCACCCGUUCGCCCCUGCUAUAUUAAUGUUUUGCUANNCUGAAAAUACCGUUCGACUUGCAUGUCUUANCCACGCCG
rnacentral:rRNA from 1 species